GUGAAAUAACCUGGGACUUUAUGUCUCAGACCAUCUCACAUCCAUACACCUUUGUGCACUGUUGGACAGACCUUUAAAUUUUUUUCAAGGUUUGUCCUAUAAUUUUACAAACAUUUUUAGAAGUAAGGAAAGUAUUGUUCAAUGCUCUUGUAGCACUGAAAUAAAUAAUAACAAAACA
rnacentral:misc_RNA from 1 species